rnacentral:rRNA from 1 species
CCUACGGGAGGCAGCAGUGGGGAAUUUUGGACAAUGGGCGCAAGCCUGAUCCAGCCAUGCCGCGUGCGGGAAGAAGGCCUUCGGGUUGUAAACCGCUUUUGUCAGGGAAGAAAUCCUUUGGGUUAAUACCUCGGGGGGAUGACGGUACCUGAAGAAUAAGCACCGGCUAACUACGUGCCAGCAGCCGCGGUAAUACGUAGGGUGCGAGCGUUAAUCGGAAUUACUGGGCGUAAAGCGUGCGCAGGCGGUUGUGUAAGACAGAUGUGAAAUCCCCGGGCUCAACCUGGGAACUGCAUUUGUGACUGCACGGCUCGAGUACGGCAGAGGGGGAUGGAAUUCCGCGUGUAGCAGUGAAAUGCGUAGAUAUGCGGAGGAACACCGAUGGCGAAGGCAGUCCCCUGGGCCUGUACUGACGCUCAUGCACGAAAGCGUGGGGAGCAAACAGGAUUAGAUACCCUGGUAGUCCACGCCCUAAACGAUGUCAACUGGUUGUUGGGUGGGUUUCUACUCAGUAACGAAGCUAACGCGUGAAGUUGACCGCCUGGGGAGUACGGCCGCAAGGUUGAAACUCAAAUGAAUUGACGG